rnacentral:lncRNA from 1 species
GAAAUGAGGGUGGUUUGAUAUUUUGUUCAGCGACAUCUUCUGUGACAACUCGAGAAUUUAGAAAAUUAUUAAAAUCUUAAAUGAUGGAUUAAAGGUUCAAUAAUAGACCUAGACAUAAAUAAGUGUAUGGAUUUGACAUUUUGAUGGAUUUAAAAAUCUUUGGUGAUAAGACUUAUAGGGUUUGGUAUAUGUGUACAUAAUUGUG